UCCUCCCUAUGAGUCAGCGGCGAAAACGAAGUAUUGCUUUUAUCCAGCAUCCUCUAAUCUGUAGAAGGAGACGCGAGGGUCCAGAACCCGUGGGAAACAUCAGCUAAUGAGCCUACUCGUUCGGCCUGUCGGUAGCCGCCAGGAAGGUUAUGUGUGUAUAUCUAUCUAGGCAGUAUAUAUAUAUAUAUUGCAAUAGUGCAAGGCAGAAGUGGUCGCGCUUGAAAAGCCAGUUAUCGCACAGCUACUUUGCUCAUUCUCUACCGCCAUUAUUAGCGCCAACACCACUCGCUUCUCAGUCGGCGCUGCUUAGUGAAGGACCACAAGUCAAGAUUGAUAUAAACGGGCGACGGAACGGAAGCAAGUGCUGCGGUUACGCCAUGAAACCGCACGCCCGUGUCUCAAGGCCCAAACUAUAAUGGAGAGCAGGACUACUUAUCUCAUUGCUCCGGAAAGAGGUAUGAUGCGUAUAUUGGCCAGCGUGAAUAUGAUGAAUCAGGCAAGCCACGGCGAACUCUUACGAUGCUUUUUACAACACGCUAUACUAGUAUGUGUUAGGCUCCUAAAGAAAAGCGGCGAGGACGGAGAAGACGAAGAGGGUAAUGACAGCAGGAAGGAAAAUGGCGAUGCGAAACAACAGGAUGGAUAGUUACAUACAACUGAAUUAUAUGCACGGAAAACUACAGCCGCUACUGUUACCGGUCUCCCGUGGAGAACUAAUGAGGAUAGGCGGUUGGGAUGACCGGCACGUCGGACGAGCUCCUAUUAGUAUAUAGAACACUCGUUUGGAUAAUGUCGCAAGGUCCACCGCUCCUCGGCGCCCAGGACAUGCCGCCAUAGCAAAGUUGCUGGAAAAGAGAGCAAGGGGUCACUGGAAAGUUGCGAGUUAAACCGAUACAGGCUCAAUCAAAAGUGUGUAAUGGACGAAUAUGAGCAGAGUAAGGAACGAAGAUGAAAGCGAGGUUGACCGGGUAUCGCGCUGAGGCUAGCAUCGCACUUAAUUCCUACAAGGCUUAGCAUGAGUGAUAGAUCAUCUGGAUUUCUGUAGCCUAUCUGUCUUCCAGUUCUUAAUAUACAGAAUACGCUGACAUGCAUAUGUAUAUUGGAGUGUCGAAAAAUUAUUGACGGCUUUUCUAAUUAAAUGGCUAUCAAAUCACGCAUUUCAAACAAUAUUAGACGCGUUAAAGAGGCUCGAGCGUCAUUUGAAGUCGGCGAAACAUGGAGGAACUUACAUAGAAGCCUUAAUUUGAUAUAAACCCGGAUUUUUCACGUCAAAUUUUCAUCUGUUUCGGUCUCUGCAGAACUCCCUUUGUGAUGUUAAUUUAGAUUUAAUAGUUUUAUUGCCAUUGAAUUAUGGUGUCAUCAGAAAAAUCGUCAAUGCUUUUUGAACACCUACGUAUAUAUAUAUCCGAGAGCAUAGAGGAUCUUUCACUAAACCGGCGUCUUGCAUUAACUAUUCGUAGAAUGUCGUUUAACUUAUUCGACAGCUGUUUUUACAACAGUCCGUGUGAAGUUCCUUUAUUGCUGUCCUAGUCUUUAUUGUCUUCUAGCAGUUUAGUCUACUGUCGGAAAAUCGCAGACGGAGUCACCAAGCCCAACAAUUAACAAGAGUAAUUGCCCCAAGGCGCUGCUAAUUGAUUGCCGUCAUUAACAUCUUCAUUUUUUUCAUCCUGAUUACGUUUAACAAGAAAGGACUUGAAAUGUAAGAUGUUCAAACGAAUAUUGCUUUUUUAGCUAUUCACCAUUUGUUGCAAAUAGCAACAUCGUAGAACCUAGUUUUUUUUAAUUCAUAAACGAAAUGUUUUAAAUGACCUCGUUGUAAACUCAAAGGAACAUGUUUUCAUCACAACGGACCUUCCCGUAACCCAAGCCCAGCCUCUUGUAGCUAUUUGUGACCAACGUCAUUUCGCAAACGCAACCUCGGCAGCACGCAGUGCUAAUACCCUCAGAAAGGUCACCGAUUCGGAGCUAGCAAGCUAACAUCCCUCGAGGUCGUCGGCUUUGUUGGUUUCGUUGGUCUGCUGAUGUUGUUGCUCAAACUACGAAGUUGUUAUUGUGAUCGAAGUAGCACUAGUUCGAAAAUGCAGAACGAGGGAAAUGGCUGCGGAAGAAGCCAGUGGCGACGGAAUGGGCAAGCUCGAGGAACUGUAGAUAGCACCGACUGACAAUGGGAUCGUGGGCGGGCAGAUGGCUGACAUUCUCGGUUAACUACCGAUCCGAUGAGUCUGGCAAGCUUACGUCCGCUCCAUCCCAAAAAGAAUUCGGCGUUCCCAUUUGCCUCAGUUACUGACUCGCCGACCACCAUAAUGGCUACUGUAACUGGCAGGAACGUCGUCGUCACCAAGACUCCAAGAAGAAGAAGAUUAAGCGCCAUCUCUAGGACAAAAGCGAAGCAUAACUCCAUUUUCGAUAUAAUGAAUGAGGGAUAAAACGACAACAACAACAACAGGUUUAGCUUUAGUUCGUUACUUUUGGCCAUCGUCUUUGCUAAUGCUAGCUGGUCUUCGACUUUUCAAAAAAUCGACGAGAAAUUAGCCUAAACAAUGGCUUAAACAUUAAACGUAGGUUUUAUUCAUGCCGGUUAUUCGAAUAACAUGAAUACGUAGAUCCGGUGUGGAUAAAAUACAGGCAUGGGCUGUGCUAUGCAUCCCUGUAAUGGUUAUAUUGAGUAAUGUAUUCAGGAGAUGUUUUUAAUAAUUACAGUAUACGAAUAUAAUAGUCGUCUGCGGCAACGGCGAGACCCUUAAGUUAGCAGACGUGACAGACGAAACGUGUAGUUGUUACACGUCAAUAGACUAACAUGAAAAUGAGUAAUAUUAAAUGAGUAGUACUAAAGCCUUUACAAACAGCAAACAGGUAAGCUUGUUGCAGAGUCUCAAGUAAAUAACUGGAAACUUUAUUAACCAACCAACAGAAUAUUAACGAAAUAGUUAAUAUUCUGUCGGUUAGCAUUAAACAGAUCUGAUGCUCUUUUUGCAAUCGUCUCUUAACUAACUUACUCUAUAUAGGCCAUAUAAUAAAAAUUAUGAUUUAAUCUGGGCAAAUACGAGGUGUUCAUUGGAACACAUGAGCCCAAGCUAAACCAGUUUAGAGAUGAGAAA